CACAUCCCUUCUGGAAUAUGCAAGCACUCCAACAGCAACUAACACCACCGCCAGAAUGGUCAGAAGGACGGAGAACUGAAAGGAGAAGAUAAGCACACAAGUCCCCUCAGCCUCCCGCCCUUGUGCUACGUAACAGUUCAGGAAUGCCUCUGAACUUUCCUACAAGGACACUGAGAUGAGACUAUGAGAUAAAACUGGAAAAUACCAUUAAACAGGAAAUCAGGAAAAACACUGAAGCAUUGAGCAUUUGAUUGUGAGACAUAUUUGAACCCCACUGUUUAUAGUUUAAUGAAUUAAUUAAUAGUUAACUAUACCCACAUUGUUGGGGAUAUAGUGUUGCACACCAGACUCUGUAUUUGUGCAUGAAAAGAGCAUAAAUCUUUUCACUUGCAGAAAGGAGGAUGAAUGAAAAGGAGAUUGCCAAAUCAAGACGAAGGCCAAAAGUGCAGUUCACCCGAGGCAGAUCUAUGAGUAAUCAAAGGAUCUUUUUUACAUUUCCCGUUCCCCCCUCGCAUUCAUUAGUUUCCCACCACUGUGCUGUGGGGGUUUCUCAACAUGAAACUUAAGACAGUUUCAAUACUUUGUGGUUACAAUUCUGGAGAAAAUAUGUCUGCUAGUUUAGGGCUGGGCCAAAACCUUCUAUCCUGAUCAUCCUUUCAUAUCUCAAUAACGAUAUAUAUAUCACGAUAUGGCAUGUUUUCUGGUAGUUCAAUAAAUGAAUAGUCUAUAUGAAAUAACCAAAUAA